UGAAUACGAGACGCUACGGCGUCGAAGCAGUCUAUGUCAUACUUCCAAGAAAAGCUUGCACUGUCAUAAACAAAUAAUGCCUGUACCAUAACCGACACAGGUGGGUAGGUAGAGUAUACUAAGGGGCGCGAGAUAACUCUCUCUAAGGAACUCGGCAAAAUGACUCCGUAACUUCGGGAGAAGGAGUGCCUUAUUUAUAAGGUUGCAAUAACAAGAUCCAAGCAACUGUUUAUCAAAAACACAGGUCUCCGCUAAGUCGUAAGACGAUGUAUGGGGGCUGACGCCUGCCCAGUGCCAGAAGGUUAAAGAAGUUGGUUAGCAUUAGCGAAGCUGAUAACUGAAGCCCUGGUGAACGGCGGCCGUAACGAUAACGGUCCUAAGGUAGCGAAAUUCCUUGUCGGGUAAGUUCCGACCCGCACGAAAGGCGUAAUGAUUUGGAUACUGUCUCGGAGAGGGGCUCGGUGAAAUAGACUUGUCUGUGAAGAUGCGGACUACCUGCACCUGGACAGAGAGACCCUAUGAAGCUUUACUGUAACCUGAAAUUGAAAUUGGACUUUAUUUGCGCAGUAUAGGUGGGAGGCGUUGAGAAUAUUCUUGCGGGAAUAUUGGAGCCAUCAGUGAGAUACCACUCUUGUAAUGUUAGAUUUCUAACUUUGAAUCAUUAUCUGGUCAAAGAACAGUUUCAGGCGGGCAGUUUGACUGGGGCGGUCGCCUCCUAAAUGGUAACGGAGGCGCACAAAGGUUUCCUCUGAACGGGUAGAAAUCGUAUCUAGAGUGUAAAGGCAUAAGGAAGCUUGACUGUGAGACCUACAAGUCGAGCAGGGACGAAAGUCGGUCUUAGUGAUCUGACGGUGCUGAGUGGAAAGGCCGUCACUCAACGGAUAAAAGUUACUCUAGGAUAACAGGCUGAUCUCCCCCAAGAGUUCACAUCGACGGGGAGGUUUGGCACCUCGAUGUCGGCCCAUCGCAUCCUGGGGCGGUAGUACGUCCCAAGGGUUGGGCUGUUCGCCCAUGAAAGCGGUACGCGAGCUGGGUUCAGAACGUCGUGAGACAGUUCGGUCCAUAUCCGGUGUAGGCGUUAGAAUAUUGAGAGGAGCCUUCUUUAGUACGAGAGGACCGAGAAGGACAUACCUCUGGUGUACCAGUUAUCGUGCCAACGGUAAACGCUGGGUAGCUAUGUAUGGAGAGGAUAACCGCUGAAAGCAUCUAAGUGGGAAGCCCACCUCAAGAUAAG
rnacentral:rRNA from 1 species